rnacentral:misc_RNA from 1 species
AUGAGAAUUACGGAGAUCACAUAAAAGAAACUACAGCCUCAAAAUAAAAAAUGAAAGUUUCUACUGGUCAUGUAUCUCAAAAAGUCACAUCUUUAAUCAAUGAUUAAUAUAUAAUUAGCCCCCAAUCAAUACACACACACACACUUGAUUUACAGCUAGAUAAAAAGACAGGAACAUAUUUCAUAAGUUACAAGUGAAAGCUAACAAUUGACGAGGUGAUUCCAAA